CGAGCCGGGCGGACGGCCGCGUGAAGUCCCUCAGGGGCCUUCCCGAGGAACGUCCGGGCUCCACAGGGCAGGGUGAUGGCUAACGGCCACCCGGGGUGACCCGCGGGAAAGUGCCACAGAAAACAAACCGCCGGGGACUUCGGUCCUCGGUAAGGGUGAAACGGCGGUGUAAGAGACCACCAGUGCCCAGGGCGACCUGAGCAGCUAGGUAAACCCCACCCGGAGCAAGGUCAAAAGGGGCCGCUGUAAUGGUGGCCCUGCGGGGACGUUCGAGGGCUGCCCGCCCGAGUCCCCGGGUAGACCGCACGAGACCGGCGGCAACACCGGUCCUAGAUGGAUGGCCGUCGCUGAGGGAUUCGCGAGAACCCCUCAGAACAGAACCCGGCGUACAGCCCGACUCGUCUG
rnacentral:RNase_P_RNA from 1 species